UCGCCUGUUUAUCAAAAACAUCUCUUCUUGGUUUAUUUUUUGAAGUAUCGCCUGCCCACUGAUAUUGUUUGAAGGGCCGCGGUAUUUUGACCGUGCAAAGGUAGCAUAAUCAUUAGUUCUUUAAUUGUGAGCUGGUAUGAAUGGCUUGACGAAGUGCUGACUGUCUUUGUGUUUAAAAGUUUUGUUGAAUUUAGUCUUCGGGUAAAAAUACUCGAAUUUUGUUGUGGGACAGAAGCCUAUAGAGUUUCAUGUAACUUUCUUUUUUUUGUUUGUUAUUUCUUGUUGAGUUUGGUUGCAUUUUGUUGGGGUGAUGAGAAAAUAUGUUUAACUUUUCUUUUUAAUGUUUCACUUAUUUGUGUUUUUAUGAUCCUUUAUUAUUGAUUAUAAGAUUAAAUUACCUUAGGGAUAACAGCGUAAA
rnacentral:rRNA from 1 species